GAUGAACGCUGGCGGUGUGCCUUAAGCAUGCAAGUCGAGCGGGAUAGCAAUAUCCAGCGGCAGACGGGUGAGUAACGCGUAGGAAUCUACCUUAAAGUGGGGGAUAGCCAACCGAAAGGUUGGGUAAUACCGCAUGUGAUCGCAAGAUCAAAGCCGUAAGGCGCUUUAAGAGGAGCCUGCGUCCUAUCAGCUAGUUGGUGGGGUAAUGGCCUACCAAGGCGAUGACGGGUAGCCGGUGUGAGAGCAUGACCGGCCACAAGGUCACUGAGACACGGGACCUACACCUACGGGUGGCAGCAACUGGGAAUCUUGCGCAAUGGGCGAAAGCCUGACGCAGCGACACCGCGUGCGGGAUGAAGCUCUUAGGAGUGUAAACCGCUGUGGCGAGGGAUGAAUUUUUGACAGUACCUCGCUAGAAAGCACCUGCUAACCACGUGCCAGAAGCCUCGGUAAUACGUGGGGUGCAAGCGCUAUC
rnacentral:rRNA from 1 species